UACGAAGGGGGCUAGCGUUGUUCGGAGUUACUGGGCGUAAAGGGCGCGUAGGCGGCGCACCAAGUCAGGCGUGAAAGCCCUGGGCUCAACCCGGGAAUUGCGCUUGAGACUGGUGUGCUUGAGUACGGGAGAGGAUAGUGGAAUUCCCAGUGUAGAGGUGAAAUUCGUAGAUAUUGGGAAGAACACCGGUGGCGAAGGCGGCUAUCUGGACCGUAACUGACGCUGAGGUGCGAAAGCGUGGGGAGCAAACAGG
rnacentral:rRNA from 1 species